GACGAACGCUGGCGGCGUGCUUAACACAUGCAAGUCGUACGGUAAGGCCCUUUCGGGGGUCCACGAGUGGCGAACGGGUGAGUAACACGUGAGUAACCUGCCCACAACUUUGGGAUAACGCUAGGAAACUGGUGCUAAUACUGGAUAUGUGCUCCUGCUGCAUGGUGGGGGUUGGAAAGCUCCGGCGGUUGUGGAUGGACUCGCGGCCUAUCAGCUUGUUGGUGGGGUAGUGGCCUACCAAGGCGGCGACGGGUAGCCGGCCUGAGAGGGUGACCGGCCACAUUGGGACUGAGAUACGGCCCAGACUCCUACGGGAGGCAGCAGUGGGGAAUAUUGCACAAUGGGCGCAAGCCUGAUGCAGAAACGCCGCGGGCGGGAUGACGGCCUUCGGGUUGUAAACCGCUUUCAGCAGGGACGAAGCUUUUUGUGACGGUACCUGCAGAAGAAGCACCGGCUAACUACGUG
rnacentral:rRNA from 1 species